AUUUUGGAGGGAACUCAGAGUAUUUGUGUGACCUCCAAUCAGCAAAUGGCUGCUUAAGUCUAUUUUGAGUUUAUAUCCAGUUAGCCAUUCGGGAUCCAUCUUGAAUUUCUAGAGGUGCAACUUACGGACUUGAGAUCUUCCUCUUUUCUCACGAGCAUCUUUGAUGGGUUGAGAGUACUAAUUGUAUCCUAGACUUGCUCAUCCCCAACACUGAGGCCCUGAGUCUGUACCCUGACUUGGGGGCUGAACUGGAGCAACUCUUUGCUCUGGGAGAAGAGUUAAAAGGAGUUCACAAUGUUCAGGCCCAGCUGUCUUUUGGGAGAGAUGUCUGCACUGAUUAUGGAUCCAAACAUCAGAGAGGAAGUGACAACUUUUCAGAAUCCUUGAUUCGAAGUCAAGAAAGCCUAGAAGAACAUGCAAGACAACAUUCAAGCAGAACCCAGGGAUACUAUGCAGAAAGUCUUUCAAUUUGAAUACUUUACUUAUUUCUUUACUCAUGUGUGUAUUUAUUGAAUAAAUAGGUAUUAAGGGCU
rnacentral:lncRNA from 1 species